GUUUUCCGGGAAGGAAGUGGAACUCUUCUUGCCGCGGGCCGGCUGGGAGAGGGUCAAUAACGUGGUAAAUACUGACGGCCGUGUCGUUAUUGAGGGGGAGCUAAGCCCCGUGUUUUAAAGUUAUAGUCUGUAGCCGUGUUUCAGAAGAAAGGCAAGUCGUCCCCCAAGUCACAUGAUGUCCAGAGGAGCCUGGGCUCUAGAGCGGUGGCUCCCUGGAGGGUAGCAGGGCAGGGGCUGCCCCUUCGGUCUUUGCAGCGUCUGUGAGAAAGCGCUUUCCAGAGGGAAAUGAAGCCGAAGAAAAAGCUGAUGCUGUGAGGAGGCAGCCUGGGCCCCCCGGCCUUGUGGCCGUAUAGGAUGAAUGUGGGCUAUAACACCUUCCUUAUCUCCCUAACGGUUCCUGGUUCCUGGCCCCGUCCGCAGUCUCUGGUUCCUGCGGAAAGACAACUCGAAAGUGGGGCCUGGCUCCAAAUACCUGCCCCCUAACACGCACGUCCUAAUGCCAGGUCCUGGAGACCCGCUACCCCUUGUUCCGCCCCUUUUCAGUUUUGCCUGCACGCGUUAUUGUUAACCUUGACUUCAUAGUUCCAUGACCUCAUUGCCGUCCUAUAACUCACCACUGUGCACUUCUCCCAAGCUACUGAGGUCCUCCCAAUCUACAACAUUUCGUACUUGGAAAUUAUCUUUCCUGGCCAGGCGCGGUGGCUCACGCCUGUAAUCUCAGCACUUUGGGAGGCCGAGGCGGGCGGAUCACAAGGUCAGGAGUUCCAGACCAGCCUGGCAAAUAUGGUGAAACCCCGUCUCUACUAAAAAUACAAAAAUUAGCCGGGUGUGGUGGCGGUCGCCUGUAAUUCCAGCUAUUCGGGAGGCUGAGGCAGGAGAAUUGCUUGAACCCGCAUGCGGAGGUUGCUUUGAGCCGAGUUUGCACCACUGCACUCCAGCCUGGGCGACAGAAUGAGACCCCGUCUCAAAAAAAAAAAAAAAAGAAAGAAAGAAAUUAUAUUUCCUGGCUAAGCGCGGUGGCUCACGCCUGUAAUCCCAACACUUUGCAAGAAAAAAGAAAAUUCUUUUUCCUGACCCAUCCAUCUAGCAUCCCACCUGACUAUUCAGUUUAGUUCAUCUGAAAUUUAUUGAGCUCCACAGUUUGGUACUCUACAACUCUUGGAUAUUCAAAUAUUUACAAGUUACUGAAUUUGUCCUCAAGAAACUCAGCUUAUCCGACUUUGUGGUUCUAUGGAGAAGAAAAAAAAAAACUGGGAAAGAUAGCCCUGUAAGCAAAUAAACAUAAUGCAGUUCCUGAGUGCUAUGAUAGAGAUAUACACAGGGUGUUGCAGAACCAUACCCAGAAGGCUUGCAAAAGGCUUUCCAAAAGGAAGUCACGCCUACGUUGUGUUCAAAGGAAGGUGAUUUGCCCAAUUCAAUGAUCAGCUCAACUUCUCAGUGCCUGAGAAGGAAGCUUUGCA
rnacentral:lncRNA from 10 species